CAGUCGCCACGGUAAUACGUAGGGUGCAAGCGUUAAUCGGAAUUACUGGGCGUAAAGCGUGCGCAGGCGGUUCGUUAAGACAGAUGUGAAAUCCCCGGGCUUAACCUGGGAACUGCAUUUGUGACUGGCGGGCUAGAGUAUGGCAGAGGGGGGCAGAAUUCCACGUGUAGCAGUGAAAUGCGUAGAGAUGUGGAGGAAUACCGAUGGCGAAGGCAGCCCCCUGGGCCAAUACUGACGCUCAUGCACGAAAGCGUGGGGAGCAAACAGGAUUAGAUACCCCCGUAGUCCCUGUUUCUUAUAC
rnacentral:rRNA from 1 species